AUGGAGAUUGCCCGCCGGGAGCCCUUCAGCAUCAUGCCCGGCCGGAAGCGCCCGCUGGAGAUCCUUCGCCAGCGGUUCCAGUCAGAGCUCGUCGCGGUCCGUCGCCUCCUCGCCGAGGCGCACGCCAUGCUUCCCGCCUCGUCCCCGUCGUCCCUUCCAGCCGAGGAGCCGCCAGCCAAGAAGAGGAAGGCGUCCCCCCCUCCCGUUCCCGCGAAGAAGAUGACGCCCAAGGAGCGGAGCCAGCUCUACGCGGACCUCACCAAGCUAGCCAAUCUGUCUGAAUCCCAUGCACUCCCUGUUCAUAUCCUGGAGCUGCUGAAGAAGCACAGCCGCCGCGGCAUCUGCGACGAUUACGUCGAGAUCGAGAUGAACGCCGUCCAAGACGCGGCCCUCGUGGAGAUGCAGAAGCAGCUGGACAAGUUCCUUGGAGAGAGGGCCCAAGACCAAGAGGAGGACCAAGACGUGGACAUCGUCGGUGGCGUCUCCCUUUUGCCGGUCAGGCCGACAUCAGUGCAGGUGCAGCUCGGCGACGCCUCACCGGUGAAGAAUCUUGGCCAAGGUGCAACCAUCAGCGGCAGCAGCGGCUCGGAUUCUGGUUCAUCUCACCAGAGCGUCGACAGUCGUCCAGCUCCGGCAGAGCGCGCCGCCAACAGUACUACGCCUCCAACACGCGACCUCAUCGCCCGUGCCGGCGAGAUUUUGGAAAGGCGACGAAAGAAGGAGACGUCCCGGGCGAGAGAGAAGGCCCGUCAGCAAGUGCUCGAGACGGAGAGGACGGCAAUGUUCAACGAGACCCUGGACGAGGAGGCGAAGGCGCUCGGCAUUGAUCAACACGGCCAGGCCGGACAACUUGUUGCGACAGAUGGGACUCUUCCUCAAGCUUGA
rnacentral:rRNA from 1 species